rnacentral:rRNA from 1 species
GGGCCCACUUUACAAGAAGCGCCCUCAAACUAAUAGAUGACAUAAUCUAAAUCUAACUAAUUUAUAACUUCUACCGCCCUAGAACAGGGCUC